AUGAUAUUUAAUAUUUAUAUUUUUUGUAUGUGUGUACAUUUCAGAAUGACAAAGCCAAAAUUCAGGCCUUGCCCAAGCUGCCAAGUCCGUCAGCAGGCCAACCGCAAAACAUGCAGUGCUUGUUUUGCCACACUGCCAAGCAAGCGGUUAUUAAAAACUGCAAAAAUUAAUGAUGACUGGGGCCAGAGGGUCGUCAAAAACAAAAAUGCAUCUCGGGUGGUGGCCUCUGCCCAAAUAGCUGUCCAAAAACUUUCUGCCUUGGGCUAUAUGCCCAUAUUAUUUAUCAGCCAGAGGCACAAGGGCACAGGCAAGUUGAUGGCAGAUGUAGUCACGCAUCUGCCACCGACGCAAAACAACACACGUUUCUUAACCAGCAUGAAGAGGGCAUAUGACUUCAUAAUCAAACUGGAUGAUGUGCCCCAGCCCCAGCCCCAGCAAGACCAGCCCCUGCCCCUAGACCGGCUAAUCCCACAAGACCAGCCCCUAGACCAGCCCCUGCCCCUAGACCAGCCCCAGCAAGACCAGCCCCUGCCCCUAGACCAGCUAAUCCCACAAGACCAGCCUACCCCAACAGACCAGCAAAUUAUUACACUUGAACUAUUUACGAUCGACUCUCAGGCUCAGCAGCAUGUGGAGCCUCUACCACCCAGGAAAAGACAAACCCCACUAUCCACCCCGCGCCUACCAUCCACCCCAGGCCAAGGCAGACGAGCCCCACCAUCCAUCCAACCUCAACUAAAGAAAAGACAAACCACAGGUAAAGGAGCCACACAGGCCCCACCCUCUACCCUGGCCAAAAAAAGAAGAAAAACACAAAAAGCAAGUAGACAUUCUUUGAACCCCAUGUGUAUAUUUGUUUCUAUUCUUUGCACCCCAUGUGUAUAUCAGCAGCCAUGUGUUGGGUGUAAAGGUGUUUUUGCAUGUAGCCCCCUUUAA
ensembl:lncRNA